GACGAACGCUGGCGGCGUGCUUAACACAUGCAAGUCGAACGGAAAGGCCCCUUUGGGGGUACUCGAGUGGCGAACGGGUGAGUAACACGUGAGUAACCUGCCCUUGACUUCGGGAUAACUUCAGGAAACUGGGGCUAAUACCGGAUAGGAAUCCUUGCUGCAUGGUGGGGGUUGGAAAGCUUCGGCGGUUUUGGAUGGACUCGCGGCUUAUCAGCUUGUUGGUGGGGUAGUGGCUUACCAAGGCUUUGACGGGUAGCCGGCCUGAGAGGGCGACCGGCCACAUUGGGACUGAGAUACGGCCCAGACUCCUACGGGAGGCAGCAGUGGGGAAGAUUGCACAAUGGGCGGAAGCCUGAUGCAGAAACGCCGCGUGCGGGAUGACGGCCUUCGGGUUGUAAACCGCUUUCAGCAGGGGCGAAGCUUGUGGUGACGGUACCUGCAGAAGAAGCACCGGCUAACUACGUG
rnacentral:rRNA from 1 species